UAGGAAACGUGUUUUCCGAUGGUCUUAGGU
rnacentral:piRNA from 1 species